rnacentral:lncRNA from 10 species
UGUAGUUUUCAUGAGUUUCAGAGAAUCUUCUUUAUUCCCCUUCUCUGAGUUUUAUUUGGGCUAUGACAUUCCAAGGGCCGGCUCUGAGGCCAGCCAGCCUGCAGACCUCUGGUGACAGGACCCCAAGGUCCCGCCUGGCUCUCCGGGUCCACAGUGUUGUGUAGCAACCUCUCAGGACGAUGACAUUUAGAAGAAGCAUAAUGUGUACCUUCAAGGAAGCACAAACUUGUUCUUGGUGUUAAUGUAUGACAUGCAAUUCUGCACCCAAAUUAUGUAAUGCUCCUCAUUGAGGCAGAAGUCUUCAAAUGGGACUGCUCACCUAGUCCUGCCUUCUACAGUUGUGACCCUAAUAGUCAGGUAGUGUCCAU